UAUAUACUACCUCCGUCCCAAAAUUCUUGUCUUAAAUUUAUCUAGACACGGAUGUAUCUAGUGACUGGAUACAUUUGUAUCUAGACAAAUCUAAGACAAAAAUUUUGGUAGGGAGGGAGUAGUUA
rnacentral:pre_miRNA from 1 species